rnacentral:tRNA from 1 species
GGGAAGUUAGUUUAAAAAAAACAAGUGAUUUCGACUCACUUAAUUCUACUACUAAUUUAGAACUUCCUU